AUUGAACGCUGGCGGCAUGCUUUACACAUGCAAGUCGAACGGUAACAGGGAGCUUGCUCCGCUGACGAGUGGCGAACGGGUGAGUAAUGCGUCGGAACGUGCCGAGUAGUGGGGGAUAACGCAUCGAAAGGUGUGCUAAUACCGCAUACGAACUGAGGUUGAAAGUGGGGGACCUUCGGGCCUCACGCUAUUCGAGCGGCCGACGUCUGAUUAGCUAGUUGGUGAGGUAAAGGCUCACCAAGGCGACGAUCAGUAGCGGGUCUGAGAGGAUGAUCCGCCACACUGGGACUGAGACACGGCCCAGACUCCUACGGGAGGCAGCAGUGGGGAAUUUUGGACAAUGGGCGCAAGCCUGAUCCAGCCAUGCCGCGUGUCUGAAGAAGGCCUUCGGGUUGUAAAGGACUUUCGUCCGAGAGCAAAUGCUGGUGGCUAACAUCCACCGGAGCUGAGAGUACCGGAAGAAUAAGCACCGGCUAACUACGUGCCAGCCGCCGCAGUAAAAC
rnacentral:rRNA from 1 species